ACUGUUUAUCAAAAACACAGGUCUCUGCUAAACCGUAAGGUGAUGUAUAGGGGCUGGCGCCUGCCCGGUGCUGGAAGGUUAAGAGGAGUGGUUAGCUUCUGCGACGCUACGAAUCGAAGCCCCAGUAAACGGCGGCCGUAACUAUAACGGUCCUAAGGUCGCGAAAUUCCUUGUCGGGGAAGUUCCGACCCGCACGAAAGGCGUAACGAUUUGGGCACGGUCUCAACGAG
rnacentral:rRNA from 1 species